rnacentral:rRNA from 1 species
AUGGAGCUUGAUCAUCGUGUCAGAUCUGUGAGGCAUGUCUUUGGAGCAUUUGCGUUGCAUCUACUUGGGAUGCAUCCGAUUCGUUCUGCUACACGAAAGCUUAAGAUCAUCGUACAGAGAUCAGAGUUCAAAGAAGAAUGCCCGGUAAAUUGUCCCUGCGAUGAGCCGAAGAGCUGGAGAAGCAAAAAUAUCUCCUUGAUCAAUCUCGAAGAAGUGGAAAUGGAAGGCUUCGAAGGGGAGGACCAUGAGUUUGAUUUGCUGAAAGUGAUAAUCAGAUGCGCACCAACGCUUAAAAGAUUGGCCGUGCAGAUGUCUGAUGAGGGCCAAAGCGCGACAGCCAAAGUUCUGCGCUCGCAUGAUUCUCAUCCUUGUGUUUACGGGUUUACGGUGCUCAUCGACAGGAGGGUCCUCUCCAGCGCAGAAUUUCUCUUGGCGGCGGCUUCGAUGAACAAACUGAGCCGCUGA